CUGCUUCGCUGACGAGUGGCGGACGGGUGAGUAAUGUCUGGGAAACUGCCUGAUGGAGGGGGAUAACUACUGGAAACGGUAGCUAAUACCGCAUAACGUCGCAAGACCAAAGAGGGGGACCUUCGGGCCUCUUGCCAUCGGAUGUGCCCAGAUGGGAUUAGCUAGUAGGUGGGGUAACGGCUCACCAAGGCGACGAUCCGUAACUGGUCUGAGAGGAUGAUCAGUCACACUGGAACUGAGACACGGUCCAGACUCCUACGGGAGGCAGCAGUGGGGAAUAUUGCACAAUGGACGAAAGUCUGAUGCAGCAACGCCGCGUGGAGGAUGACACAUUUCGGUGCGUAAACUCCUUUUAUAUAGGAAGAUAAUGACGGUACUAUAUGAAUAAGCACCGGCUAACUCCGUGCCAGCAGCCGCGGUAAUACGGAGGGUGUAAGCGUUAAUCGGAAUUACUGGGCGUAAAGCGCACGCAGGCGGUCUGUCAAGUCGGAUGUGAAAUCCCCGGGCUCAACCUGGGAACUGCAUUCGAAACUGGCAGGCUAGAGUCUUGUAGAGGGGGGUAGAAUUCCAGGUGUAGCGGUGAAAUGCGUAGAGAUCUGGAGGAAUACCGGUGGCGAAGGCGGCCCCCUGGACAAAGACUGACGCUCAGGUGCGAAAGCGUGGGGAGCAAACAGGAUUAGAUACCCUGGUAGUCCACGCCGUAAACGAUGUCGACUUGGAGGUUGUGCCCUUGAGGCGUGGCUUCCGGAGCUAACGCGUUAAGUCGACCGCCUGGGGAGUACGGCCGCAAGGUUAAAACU
rnacentral:rRNA from 1 species